rnacentral:rRNA from 1 species
AUUGAACGCUGGCGGCAUGCCUUACACAUGCAAGUCGAACGGUAACAGGCCGCAAGGUGCUGACGAGUGGCGAACGGGUGAGUAAUGCAUCGGAACGUGCCCAGUCGUGGGGGAUAACGCAGCGAAAGCUGCGCUAAUACCGCAUACGAUCUAUGGAUGAAAGCGGGGGACCGUAAGGCCUCGCGCGAUUGGAGCGGCCGAUGUCAGAUUAGGUAGUUGGUGGGGUAAAGGCUCACCAAGCCAACGAUCUGUAGCUGGUCUGAGAGGACGACCAGCCACACUGGGACUGAGACACGGCCCAGACUCCUACGGGAGGCAGCAGUGGGGAAGUUUGGACAAUGGGCGCAAGCCUGAUCCAGCAAUGCCGCGUGCAGGAAGAAGGCCUUCGGGUUGUAAACUGCUUUUGUACGGAACGAAAAGGCUCUGGUUAAUACCUGGGGCUCAUGACGGUACCGUAAGAAUAAGCACCGGCUAACUACGUGCCAGCAGCCGCAGUAACAC